rnacentral:lncRNA from 1 species
AACAAAUAAAGGUCAAACUUCAAAUCCAAUUCAAAUCAACUUGGAUAAGUCCAAUUGGAUCAUCAUAAGUCUAACAUGGUCAAACAAGGUUUGACAAAUUUUCUCAACAUUUUUUGAAAACAGAAACUAUUUUUAAACAAUUAAAAAUGAAGAAAAAUAACAUAAUUGGACUAAAAUCUCAAAUAAAUCUCAAAUCAAUUAAGAAAUUGAUGAGAAUAUUUU